GAUGAACGCUGGCGGCGUGCCUAAUACAUGCAAGUCGAGCGAACAGACGAGGAGCUUGCUCCUCUGACGUUAGCGGCGGACGGGUGAGUAACACGUGGAUAACCUACCUAUAAGACUGGGAUAACUUCGGGAAACCGGAGCUAAUACCGGAUAAUAUAUUGAACCGCAUGGUUCAAUAGUGAAAGACGGUUUUGCUGUCACUUAUAGAUGGAUCCGCGCCGCAUUAGCUAGUUGGUAAGGUAACGGCUUACCAAGGCAACGAUGCGUAGCCGACCUGAGAGGGUGAUAGGCCACACUGGAACUGAGACACGGUCCAGACUCCUACGGGAGGCAGCAGUAGGGAAUCUUCCGCAAUGGGCGAAAGCCUGACGGAGCAACGGCGCGUGAGUGAUGAAGGUCUUCGGAUCGUAAAACUCUGUUAUUAGGGAAGAACAAAUGUGUAAGUAACUAUGCACGGCUUGACGGUACCUAAUCAGAAAGCCACGGCUAACUACGUG
rnacentral:rRNA from 1 species